UCGUGCUAGACGGGGAUGUAGCGGCACCCUGUAACCUGCAAUCCGCUAUAGCAGGGUUGAAUUCCUUUCUGAGGCUUAUACUCUGUGGGGCCGGCCCGGGCAAGUGGCGUCGAAGGCCGGGUCCUGCGCAAUGGAAAUUCAUAAACCCCGUCAGGUCCGGAAGGAAGCAGCGGUAAGUGAACCCUUCCAUGUGCCGCAGGGAAGCCUGGCUGGAGCUAACUGUUCGGGUAUCGCCUGUGGGGAUAAGUCGGGGAAAGGUGCACGA
rnacentral:SRP_RNA from 1 species